rnacentral:tRNA from 1 species
GCAGUGGUGGUUCAGUGGUAGAACUUGCGCCUUCCAUGCUCGAUACCGGGGUUCGAUCCUCGCCCAAUGCC